CACGUAGGGCGCAAGCGUUGUCCGGAAUUAUUGGGCGUAAAGAGCUCGUAGGCGGUCUGUUACGUCUGCUGUGAAAACCCGGGGCUUAACCCUGGGCUUGCAGUGGAUACGGGCAGACUAGAGGCAGGUAGGGGAGAAUGGAAUUCCCGGUGUAGCGGUGAAAUGCGCAGAUAUCAGGAAGAACACCCGUGGCGAAGGCGGUUCUCUGGGACGGUACUGACGCUGAGACGCGAAAGCGUGGGGAGCGAACAGG
rnacentral:rRNA from 1 species